rnacentral:rRNA from 1 species
GAUGAACGCUGGCGGCGUGCCUAAUACAUGCGAGUCGAGCGAACAGAUGAGGAGCUUGCUCCUCUGACGUUAGCGGCGGACGGGUGAGUAACACGUGGAUAACCUACCUAUAGACUGGGAUAACUUCGGGAAACCGGAGCUAAUACCGGAUAAUAUAUUGAACCGCAUGGUUCAAUAGUGAAAGACGGUUUUGCUGUCACUUAUAGAUGGAUCCGCGCCGCAUUAGCUAGUUGGUAAGGUAACGGCUUACCAAGGCAACGAUGCGUAGCCGACCUGAGAGGGUGAUCGGCCACACUGGAACUGAGACACGGUCCAGACUCCUACGGGAGGCAGCAGUAGGGAAUCUUCCGCAAUGGGCGAAAGCCUGACGGAGCAACGCCGCGUGAGUGAUGAAGGUCUUCGGAUCGUAAAACUCUGUUAUUAGGGAAGAACAAAUGUGUAAGUAACUAUGCACGUCUUGACGGUACCUAAUCAGAAAGCCACGGCUAACUACGUG